rnacentral:rRNA from 1 species
AGGGUUUGAUUAUGGCUCAGGAUGAACGCUGGCGGCGCGCCUAACACAUGCAAGUCGAACGGCACCCCUCUCCGGAGGGAAGCGAGUGGCGAACGGCUGAGUAACACGUGGAGAACCUGCCCCCUCCCCCGGGAUAGCCGCCCGAAAGGACGGGUAAUACCGGAUACCCCCGGGCGCCGCAUGGCGCCCGGGCUAAAGCCCCGACGGGAGGGGAUGGCUCCGCGGCCCAUCAGGUAGACGGCGGGGUGACGGCCCACCGUGCCGACAACGGGUAGCCGGGUUGAGAGACCGACCGGCCAGAUUGGGACUGAGACACGGCCCAG